rnacentral:tRNA from 1 species
AUUCAAUUAGUUUAAGUCAAAAAUAUUAAGUUGUGGACUUAAUGAUAUAUAAUUAUAUUGAAUA